rfam:Planktomarina temperata RCA23, complete genome.
CAUCCUCGAUCUGUUGCGGGCAGAUAAAGUGUAUGUGGCUGUCAAAACCGCCUGCUGUCAGGAUGCGCCCCUCACAAGCAAUGACUUCGGUUCCCGGGCCUAUGAUGAUAUCUACACCCGGUUGCGUGUCUGGGUUGCCGGCCUUGCCGAUCUUAUGAAUGCGACCAUCGCGCAAACCCACAUCCGCUUUGUAGAUGCCGCUGUGAUCAAUGAUCAAAGCGUUGGUCAUAACAGUAUCCACAGCACCUGCAGCACGGGUGACUUGGGAUUGGCCCAUGCCAUCACGAAUG